UCUACGGAGAGUUUGAUCCUGGCUCAGGACGAACGCUGGCGGCGUGCUUAAUACAUGCAAGUCGAGCGAAAACCCGAGAGGGGGUAACCCUUUUCGGGGGACAGCGGCGAACGGGUGAGUAACACGUGGGCAACGUGCCCCAGACACCGGGAUAACAGUGGGAAACUGCUGCUAAUACCGGAUAUUCCCUUCCCUCCGCAUGGC
rnacentral:rRNA from 1 species